rnacentral:lncRNA from 1 species
AGAACGGUCGCCGCGUCGCCUCAGCACGGACCUCCAGGGAGCUCCUCAGCAAGAUCCUGCCAGGGCGCCCCUCAGCGCGAUUCUGCCGGGGUGCCUCUCAGCGUGGUCCUCCCCGGGGCUCCUCAGCACGAUUCUCCCGGUGCGCCCCUCAGCGCGGUCCUCCUCGCGCGGCACUCUCCCGGCGGCUCCUCAGUGCGGUUCUCCCAGACUCUCCUCAGCGCGGCCCUCCCCAUCUCUCUGGGAGGGUUUGAACACGGUCAGCACGGACCUGGGCGGACGGCGCGGGACGGGUGAUCACUGGCGUUGCUGAGGGCAACUUGGCAUUAGAAUGACGUCAGGAUUUUCCAAAUCUGUUAAGUUCAACAGGACUCCACUCAAACUUCCAGUUGGAGGGCUUGAGUAAUUUAACAAACAUAUUCUAAAAUGUAUGUGGAAGAAAAAUAUUUGUAAAUGCCAACUGAACUUUUGAAAAGGAGAGCAGAGGACUUCUGCUGGCAGAUACCAGGGCACACGCCAACUUCAGCAAUCAGAGCGGUGUGGUGACAGAGGCCCAGAAGAGAGCUCAGAGGUAACUCCAAGUCUAGAGGAAGGGGACAUGUGAUAAAGGUGGCACCACAUAUCAGUGGGGACUGUUCAGAAGAUGAUGUUGGAAAGCCAGCCCUAAAAUGGAGGAAUAGGAAUAUGGAUUCCUAACUGAGCCCCUAGGAAAAGUAGACUCCAAAUGGACUAAAUAUUUGAAAGCAAAAGGUAGUUGCCAUUUGUUUAAUAGGAGAAAAAAUGAAUAAUCUCCAGGGCCAGGGUGGCCGUGGGGUUCUUAAACAGGAUCCAGAAAGCACAAACCUCAAGACUAAAAUGUAUGAACUUGAAUGCAUUAAUGAUUAUGGAUUAAGGAUUUCUGUUAAAUAAAUCCAUCAUGGCAAGGGU